AGUUAUUAAUAGACUAUCAUAGCAGCACUUAAGAUGCAUGUUGACAAAUACCACAAGAAGUUUAUGGCAUCUGCAAAUACAAGGUCAUGCUUUAAUAUGCAAGGUACUAUCCACUUUGAAUUCCUUGACAUCAAACUGGUGGCAAUGUAACCUGUGCGGUGUAGUGAACGUAGACCUGGCCACACGGUGGUGGUUCUAAUUCAUGGCCAGGUUCCAUACAGUACCGGUUAAGAAGAUUAAAAAAUAAACAGAGACACAAACAUUUAAAUUUUGCCGGCUUCAAUGAGGAACCAGGACUGAACUUCAGUCUGGUCAUGAACCGUGGGACCCAUGGUCCAGUUCCAGUCCUUCCCUUGCCAGGUCUAAGUGAAGGUGACUUAUGAACGUUUGCAUGCAUCUAGUUCUCAGUCGUUAUUGUUCUUCUCUUGAAAUUGCUCUACUCUAACUUAUCCUAUGCACCUCUUUGAUUUUCUUCAUAAAUUUUAUGUAUUAUUUGACAUUUUAUGAACUUUAGAAGCAAUGUCCGGUUAUAGUAUGGUGUAAGAACUCGGUGGUGUCUCCAGUUAAAAAUACAUUCAAUAAUUUAAUGUAUUCUUUUGUCUUUCGAUCCUAAAAUCCACAAAAUCUUCAUGUUAACUGGAUAUUUUAUGUGUUUUUAUUUUUCUGUUUUUUUAUUAACAUUGAAAACCAAUGCCAUUAUUCAUUAAACUUACUAAUAGUCUAAUAUACUUUUAUGCGAAAUGCAUGUGUGGCUUAAUAUUUUGCAUUGGUCAGUUUGUGUACGAUCAGGUGCCACAAUGGACAUUUCAUUUCUUAAGCAUCACUGUUAGUUAUUCUUGUUUCUUAUCUCCUAAUAUGCAAGUUCCAUUGAAUUUUCUUUUUCUACAGUUAUUGUCCGGUUUUUUGUUUUUUCACAGUGAUUGUAAUUAAAGUUCUAUUACAAUUUAAUUGUCAAUAAUUUCCGUUUAGUCUAAUGCUCAAAUAAGUGUUUUGCGAAUGAGGAUAAUCAAGACACACUGAUGAAGAAGCUGUAAGAGAACAAAAUGAGAUAAAUGGACUAUGCAGAUGGUGGAUUAACAGGCAACAACAGCAGAUUCAGUCUUCCCCUGUUCGAUAUUACAAUACCACAUAGCACGAGCUCCGUAUGGUCGCUGUCUGAUAUAAUAAUAAUGAUGUGAGAUGCAGUGGUCCUUCAACUUAAGAUGAUUUUGAGUACAUAUGAAAAAUCUUCUCUAGUGUGCUCUUAUUUCUUUUUUAGUUCAUCUUAUUUAAUGUUUAUACUUUAUGCACAUAAUAUCUUCGGUUGUUUAGCUAUGUAAUUAUUUUUUUGCUAGCAGUUGUUGGUUUUUGACUUA